rnacentral:misc_RNA from 1 species
GAUAGUUGGAUGAGGGUGAAAAAACAGAAUAACCAGACAGUGCAGGGGAUAAUACAAAGGCAAAGUAUGUAGUACGGAAAUCAAAAUUAAAAAAAUUGAAGUACAGACAACCAAAAGAUUGGAAUGUCAGAGUUAACUAGAGUACUACCGAUGAUUGCUGUGUGUAAAAGAGAAAAAAACGUCCGACCGGUAUCUGGCUGCAGGAAUCAAUCAUCGAACGAGCAUUUCGCAAGUCGAGAAAAUGAUCGAUGCGAGACACGUGACGCGGGGGUCGUGCCGACGACACGCCUUAUCAGUCUUCGAUCGAAGGGUUCUCCUAAUAAUCAUCGGUCGAGCCACAUGCGAUUGAAAAGGAAGACGGGAGUCUCGCAAUUAGGGUUUCACGCCGGCAUCAGCGCAAAAGAUUUAAUUAUCCCGACCAUCAUCGAAGGACCAUUCAAUCAAAUCCGAAUCUGACUGCUGUAACUCAUUCCAUUUGUUUUUUCGCGAAGAACAAGUAUUUUAGCAGAGCCUCAAAGAGUCGAUAAAUACAUCAAAACACAUCGAAGGUUUAGAUUCUUUUUUUUUUUUAGAAUACAAAAAACCAAAAAUUCGUAAAAAUUAUCUGAUUUUUCCGUCUACAAUUGACAAUUUUGGAGCUAUUCGAAGACCGUCGAAAGAAUCCAGUCGGCAAACUGAAUAUCUCUACAUUAUACCGAGUCUCUCGCGUAUCUCAGUAGUGGUUAAUAAUUCAAAAGAAUGAACGAACAUCGAAUUUGUAAAGCGUCGUAAAAAUAGGUUAAGCCAUGUUUUGGUCUCCGUAAAGAACAUCGAAGAACAAUGAUGAUAACGAAAACAUUGAACUUUGUUCUAAUUCUCUUGACAUGUUAAUAAAAAAUUGAAUAUGUGGAGCAAGUGUCAUCGAUCGUAGACUGCAGACGUUUUGUUGAACCGACAUUUACCUCAUACCCUGCACGUCAGUCUCGGCAUGACUGUGUGCUUUUGUACUACGCGUGACAUUAAUUUUAUCGUCGUUUUGAUUCGCUCUGCAGAUUUUCAAACGGCGCGAGGUGACUCGGCAAGAAUGUUAUAAGGCGCUGACAUUUUUACUCGCUGUGAAGUCUGAGGACAUUGAUUUAAAUUUUCCAUGCAUGAGGAAUUAUAUACCCAUAAUUUGACUCUGUCAGGUCGAUUUUUCAAAACUCUAAUCACUUCGAAGUGACAUUUAAUAUGAAAGACACAAUGUUUUUUAAGAUUAUCGAACAAUCUUCGGAAACAAAUUUUGGUCCAACUCAUGCAUCUGAUUAAAAUAACCGAUGGUUUCGUAAUAUUGAAGGAGUAUUUAAUAAUUAAUUGGAUUGUUAAUCGGAAUCGAAUUGGACCACUAUUUUAUCAUCAUUAGGGUGAAAAUUGUGAAUAUUUUUUGGCGAGGAAAUCUCACUAGGCAAGACCUCUGAAAAAGAAAUUGAUCGUACUCUCAAUCUGACUGUAUAUUUAUUUUUAUGAGAAGGACAAGAUUCUGUGUUACCGAUUGAUGUUUCAGCUGUUACGUUGAGCAUUUGUCCUGCAUGUGAAAAGUAGGUAUCACGAUGUGUUUCGGAAGAUUUUGAAAAAUUGGGUUUUAGUUGUACGAAGUAAUGUUAGGUUCUGAAACAGUGUCAAGACUGGCUAAAAAAACAUGACCAACACUAGCGAUAAUUACACGAAUAUUAUAAACAGUUGAAUAAACGGCCUUUUGAAAACGCAACUGACGCAUAAGAAUUCACACGGGAGAUCGGAGUUCUUGAGCCGAACAAAAUUGAGUUACUUUCCUAUUCUGCAAGCUACCUACAACGAGUAUGCUAUCUUUUGAUAGUCAAAAAUUAAAAACUUAUUCUGAAUUAAUUUUAAGAUCGAAGACAACAGCAAUUUAAAUUAUAAUAUCUUGAAAUAGUGCGAGUAGAUGUAAAGUUUGGCAUAUAAAUCAUAAGAUGGUUUUUUCAGUGAAUCUCAUUGUUCACCAUACAAAGAAAAUAUCAAAUUCCCGUG